ensembl:lncRNA
CUUCACUGGGUAUCACGGGUCAUACAGCACGGCAGGGAGGACACCUGGAUCAACAACUCAGGUGAGUCCUUCACUGGGUUAGAGAAAUAGGCUAUUUAGGGAAAGGCACAUAUACUUUACAAUCAUAUUUAUAAUGUAUUAUAGAGUUUUUGACCAAACAGUUACAAUGGGUUUAAAAAAAUAUUGUUCUAUGCAUUUGGAGAUUAAAGACAAAUCACAAGUGUUAUUUUGUUACUAUUCUGUAGAAAUGAAGAAAGGUUAUCAAAACAUGUUAAAGACAGUAUGGUCUUACUGAGAGAAAGAGAAGGGGGAGAGAGAGAAACAUAGAUUUGUGGAUUUCAUUUAACAUGUUUCAGUGAAUAUAUAGAAAUACAAAUAUUUGCUUAAAUGUUGAUGUUACCCAUUUGAAAACAUGGAUAUUACACAUUCAAUUAUUUUCAACACUAAAUAAAAAAAUACUGGCCUCUUUUCCAGAGAAGGCUAGCUUACUGUACAUUUGUAAACUGUAUUUAAUGGUAAAUUGAAUUAUACAUUCUGAUUUAGCUGCUGAGUAUCAAUUAACUGUGUUGCUCUGUCUUUAUCUACUCCAUUUGUUUGUUUAAACAAGAGCGUUGGAGGAAGGUUUUCAUACAAUCUACUGGAUAACUAUAUGGCUCGAUCGACUCAACAGCAUGUCAACAUGACAUCACCACAUUCUCAUCCCAUGAUUUCGUUCAACGUUUUCCUUUCGUAAUGUUGUCCAGAGGGUGUUGAACAACCUACAUCAGUGAUCUGACAAAGAGCAAGUCCAACCUCAACCAUCACUCAUAAAACACUCAACAAUAUAAAUGAAUUCAUCGGAAUCAUCAUCAGAGACAGAGGACGAUAUGAGUCAACCCUUAUCAGGAUCUACUCAACACAGUGCUAGACCCUAAAAGUGACAGGAGCUCCACGUUAGAUAAUCAUCAGCACAACACAUUUAGAGGUUAUCUUCAAGAAUUCACCUCCUCUCUGAAGCUAGUGGACAUAUGGAGAUUACAGAACCCUAAUUUAAAACAAUUCACUUACUCUAAAAAUACUAAAACCUCAGAGUCUGGAUCUAGGUUAGACAUGUUCUUUGUGACAAGAUUCAUGCAGACACAAAACAUUACUCACAGCUGUAGAAUCCAUGAUAUCUGUGAGGUAAAAGGAAGAAAACAUGUUUCCGAUCACAAACCAGUCAUUCUGGAGCUCUACCUUCCUGCCAAAGCAGACAGUUCCACUCCCUCCACACUAGAAUGUAGAAAUACAGAGGUUCUGACAACGUUACCGGAGGAUCAAUACAAUGACAGAACAGGAAAAAUAUCUGGGUCUGAGAUAGUAAUGGCAAUAGAAUCUCUGACUGGCUCUGGACAACCAACACUUGGUACAAAACCUGACCUGAUAACAACCGAACGCUUAAAGCGGACAUAUAAUAAAGAACACAAAGCUUCAGAAAUGACAGCCAAUGAAGGGACGAUAUUUGCUAAAAUACUAGAAAGUCGUCUACAAAUGUACCUUCAGUUCUCAAUCAAAGAAAAGAACCGAGGUGAACCGUCACAGAGUUUGCCUUAUCUUGUUAAGUUGGACAUCGCAACCAAGAUUAAGAGAAACUUCUUGGAAGAAGUCCUUUUGUCCAUAAAGUGUUCUAAACCAUCUCCUAAAUCACCUGACCCUAUUAGCUUCACAUUUUUAAGGGAAGUGCUUUCUCGUGACAUUACCAACUGGUCAAAGUUGCUUCCAAUUGCCGAUCAUACUUUAGGUGACAAGAGACGGUUAAACCAUGACUGUCCUCUCACCCAAACUCGACUUGCCUUAUGCCUGAAGAAUUUACAAUACAAGAUUUAUGUUAAAACUAAGAUAACCAGUGUGUGGUACUUCAGACGGUGUUGUCUGAUACACAUGGAAGAAAAGGAAUUGCCAACUGUGACAGCUGUACUCCGUAAAUUCAGAGAAGACUCUGGGCUUAGUAUUACCACAGAGAUGAAACUAUGCUUUUGCCACCAGGCCACAAACCCAGAACAGUGAAUUAAGGUCAAACCCAGAACCAGUCCUGAAGAUCAUGUAUUAUAGUCAAACCCAGAACCAGUCCUAAAGAUAAUGUAUUAUAGUCAAACCCAGAACCAGUCCUAAAGAUCAUGUAUUAUAGUCAAACCCAG